rnacentral:rRNA from 1 species
GACGUAGGGCGCGAGCGUUGUCCGGAUUUAUUGGGCGUAAAGAGCUCGUAGGCGGCUUGUCGCGUCGUCCGUGAAAACCCAUGGCUCAACUGCAGGCUUGCGGUCGAUACGGGCAGGCUAGAGUUCGGUAGGGGAGACUGGAAUUCCUGGUGUAGCGGUGAAAUGCGCAGAUAUCAGGAGGAACACCGGUGGCGAAGGCGGGUCUCUGGGCCGAUACUGACGCUGAGGAGCGAAAGCAUGGGUAGCGAACAGG